rnacentral:RNase_P_RNA from 1 species
UCAGUCGGCCGGACGGCCGCUCCGGCUAGGGUCGAAAGGCUGCCGGAGAGGAAAGUCCGGGCUCCAUCGACAUGCGGUGCCGGAUAACAUCCGGCGGGGGUGACCCCAGGGAAAGUGCCACAGAGAACGAACCGCCCCCGCCUCCGCCCUUUGGGCUUCGGCGAGGCAGGCCCUCGGGCCUGCUACGACGUAGCAGCGCAAGCUGCGAAGGCGAGAGCAAGGGUGAAAAGGUGCGGUAAGAGCGCACCGCGUUUCCGGCAACGGAGACGGCACGGCAAACCCCACCGGGAGCAAAACCGAAUAGGGACGGCAUCGCGGGCUGUUCGCGAAAGCGAUAACGCCGCAGGGCUAUGUCAGGCUCGCCGUCCGGGUAGGUUGCUCGAGGCCAUGUGCGAACAUGGUCCCAGAGGAAUGGCCGUCACGUAUCGUCUGCGCAAGCGGGCGGUGCCCUACAGAACCCGGCUUACAGGCCGGCUGAUACG